GAUCCUGCCGGAGGUCACCGCUAUUGGUAUUCGCUUAAACCAUGCGAGUCGAGAGGGUUCGGCCCUCGGCGGACUGCUCAGUAACACGCGGACAACAUGCCCUUGGGUGGGGAAUAACCUCGGGAAACUGAGAACAAUGCCCCAUAGGCCAUCUCUGCUGGAACGCUUGAUGGCCCAAAGCUCCGGCGCCCAAGGAUUGGUCUGCGGCCUAUCAGGUAGUAGUGGGUGUAACGGACCCACUAGCCUACGACGGGUACGGGCCUUGAGAGAGGUCGCCCGGAGAUGGACUCCGAGACACCAGUCCAGGCCCUACGGGGCGCAGCAGGUGCGAAAACUUCGCAAUGUGGGAAACCACGACGAGGGGAUACCAAGUGCCUACACUAUGUGUAGGCUGUUUUCGUGUCUAAAAAACACGGAGAGUAAGGGCUGGGUAAGACGGGUGCCAGCCGCCGCGGUAAUACCCGCAGCCCGAGUGGUGAUCAUUAUUAUUGGGCCUAAAACGUCCGUAGCCGGCCCGGUAAAUUCUUGGGGAAAUCGGUGAGCUCAACUCAUCGAAGUCCGAGGAGACUGCCGGGCUUGGGACUGGGUGAGGUCAGAGGUACUUCUUGGGUAGGGGUAAAAUCCUGUAAUCCUUGAAGGACCACCAGUGGCGAAGGCGUCUGACUAGAACGGAUCCGACGGUAAGGGACGAAGCCCUGGGGCACAAACGGGAUUAGAUACCCCGGUAGUCCAGGGUGUAAACGCUGUGGGCUUGGUGCUGGGAGUCCUACGAGGGCGCCCAGUGCCGUAGAGAAGUUGUUAAGCCUACUGCCUGGGGAGUACGCUCGCAAGAGUGAAACUUAAAGGAAUUGGCGGGGGAGCACCGCAACGGGAGGAGCGUGCGGUUUAAUUGGAGUCAACGCCGGG
rnacentral:rRNA from 1 species